CCAGGACGAGCCCCGCCGGGGAAGGAGAGGGAGAAGAGGCCCCGCCGGGCCCCGCCGCCCCCUCCAUGGAGGCGAAGGAAAGGGCCCAGGAAAGGAAGGCAGGCAGGCUGAGCCUCCACGAAGGGCGGGCCCCGGAAGGCCAAAUGUCAUCUUCAUAGAAUAUAUCUUCUUGACCGUUUUUAGCUACGUAACUAAAAAGUUCUGGAACCCUGAUAACAAAUAAACAAAUACAUUGUGUGAUCCAUUUCCUCCUGGACUCCAGAAAAGAAACUUUAUACGAGGGCAAGUCAAAAUUAGCUAAUACAAAAGCUUGUCGACAAAUGGACAAAAGUGUAUUGAAAAGCAGUAAGAUUGCCUGGAACAAUUAUGACAACUUUUCCCAGUUCCUUUCCCUUCCGCUCCUUCCUGAUAACUCCUCCACCCAUUCUAUACCCCCCGAUGAGAGCCCCCUAACCCCUUCCCACCUUAACUCAUUUCAUCCCACCCACUUACUUCCCUACCCAUAUCUACCCUACUUUUUCCCUUUAGUCCCCAAUUGAUUGUAUCAAAUUUCAAUAAAAAUCAUUUAUAAAAAAAAAAGAAAAGCAGUAAGAUUGCCUGGAACAAUUAUGUAUUUGUAUUUUCUGAAUGUUGAUGAAAAUAAAUUCUACAGCAGGA